rnacentral:lncRNA from 1 species
CCAGAUCUACUAGAACACCAGUUAUCCAGAAAAGUCAUAAAAUGUGUACCUCUGCCAACAUAAAACCAACACCAGUAACACUUUCACCUCCACCGAACUGCUACCUCUCUCAAUAUUUGCAAAACAACCACCAACGAGAGAAACUGGACCACAAUGACAAAACCAAGCGUUCAACACAAAAUAGCACAACAAUAUUGGUGCCAUUUUAAAGAAAAACAACGAGGGACAUUUUUGUCAUUUUUAAAUUAUGCUGGGUUCUCCAACAAUAAUGCUGGAUGCACCUAACAACCUCCGUCCAUGUUGAAGAUAAGGUCCAACACAUGCAUCACUCAUGACUCAUGAUGAUGUAGUUAUGGCCCACAUAACAACCAUGAAAAACUACUGUGUCAAUAAGAUUUAAUGUUUCAACACUAUAUGUACAAAACGUGAGUUACAUCUAAACAUAAAAAGAGAAUUUCUUUAACUGAAAACUUUUUUUUUAAAUGAAAGCUUAUUUUGAUAAACAUUGAAAAGUUUUCCUUCGGGAAAAAAAUAUGGUAACUUUUGAACCAAUGGAUGAAACUCACUAGAAGGAGAAUAACUCAAAAUUAUACAAGAAAAGUGUAAAUAUGUUUCCUUUUGGGCUUUGUAUAUAUUUUAAAUAAAUGCAUUUUUAAUUUUUAUAUAUUAUAUACAAGUAAAUAUAUUUAUUUUUUCCUUUCAAAGUUAUCGUCAUUAUGGGUGAAAAUUACUUCUGCCUUUUUCUCUUUUCUUUUUAUUGAUUGGGGCCUCACUAACAAACUUGUCUCAUAUACUUUGAGGAGGAUCAAAAGUACCACAAAUUAUCAUUCACACUAAGUGUUUAAAACAGUACCUAAUGUGUAACUAAUAGAAUGUUUGGUAAUUGGAACACAGCUUGUGUGCCAACUUUUAAUUAAUAAUAUUUUCCUUUCACAAAAAAGAAUCUAAUGGAAUGUGUCAACAAAAUCACGAUAUGCAUCAUUCAUAUUUCAUAUAUCAAUAUAAAUCACAACAUGCAUGCCUUCUCGAUUAUAUAUUACAUAAAGCAAUGUUUUGUUUGGAUCAAGUUGAUUGUCUAUCAUUUCACUACUUCCAAAGACAUUUUAUUAAGACAUGCCUGCCUGGAUGUAUUAGUAGGUAAUUAGUAAUUUCAUUGUCAUGUAUAGUUUAUAUUUACAUUUAAAUACGUGUUGUAGCAUCUUUUACUUAAUUAUUCAUUUACCUUUUGUCAACUUUAAGUAUGACCAACUUCCUCGAUACACUUAAAUACAUGCCGAUAUUCUUCUAUAUCAACAAUUUCCGUAUUUCACUAAUGACAUCCAAUAAUAUAUAAGUUACAACAUGCAUUUUGUAAAAACAUAAACCCUUCACGACAUUGAAAUAAUAAAUUAACUAGUAUCGCACCAAGGCAAACAUCUCUUGAUAAGUUCUGAAAUCUGACCUUUGAAGCCAAAACAUUCUUUAAGAAUUGUCAUUUAAAUAGAAUUGAUAUAAUAAUAAUUAUAUACUUACAACAAUACAAUAAUGCAAGACAUGUUUUGAAGGGCCAAGAAAUUUGUGUAAUUAAUGAUAAAUAAUCUUGCAACAAAUUUGUACAAUUAAUCAUUUCUCAGAGCAUUUCAAAUCUCAAUUCUGUGUCAAUAUUCUUGGAUGUCAAACCUCAUACAUCCAGAUUUCAAAAUACAAUCUAUAUGAUCCUGUGACAGACGAACUACAUACAUCCAGAUUGCCAAACCUCAACCAAUCAUACAUAUAUAAGACUUUAAACAAAAUUUAUCAAGCAAAAUCAAUGGUCAAGCUAUUGAUUUAAGGAAAACAGAGUGCACAUGACACAACUACCAUCAAUAUCAAUGGUCAAGCCUAUUGAUUAAGGAAAACAGAGUUUACAAGACACAACUAACUUCAAAAUCAAUGGUCAAGCUACUAAUCUUGUUAACUUGUUUUUCACCAACGUGCCUUUCAACUGUAUGUUAGUUCUAUUAAAAAAGAAAAAACCAAGAAAAACAUAAAAUAAGCCUAACUUUUUUUUUCUCUUAAAAAAGCUAAAUAACUCUGAUUUCAUCUUAUCCGGUUACCUUUCAACCUUUAUAAGGACCAACCAAAAUGGAAACUAUGUAGCAUAUGAAAGUCAAAAUUAGGAUAUCUAACCAAAUAUUUAUUUUUUUCUCUUUUAUCUUCUUAUCCGAUAAUUGAUUAAGGAUCCUAUAGUCUAGUUAGUGUUGUUCUAAUUAUCUUCAUUUCAUUUGUAGAAAGAAAGCAAUAAACAAAAAUGGUUUUUCUAGAAUAGUGGUGUUAGUCGUUGAAAAAAUUUGUUGGAAAGGUAUCAAACUUUCGACGGACCUAUAUCUACAGGUAAACUUCCGUUCGUAAUUUAUACUUUCCGACGAAAUAUAAUCCUUUGAAAAAUUCCUUCGGAAAUUCAAAUAUUUUUUACGAAAUGAAUUCCGUGGAAAAAUUUCUGUCGGUAAUAACGCUUUUUCUUGUAGUGUGCCUUUUGCAUUUUUGGGAAAAGAUUGUUUACUGAAUAAGGCAAUUGGAUGGCUUUGUUGGCUAAGGAUUGCUCCUACUGCAAAGGUGAAUGCAACAGUUUCAAUCUCAAAAGGCAUAUUGAAAUUGGGAAAGCUAAGGACCGAUGCCUAUGUGAUAAUGUCUUUUAAUGUUGUAAAUGCUUGUAUCGUGUGUGUAGACCAUUGAAAUUGAACAUUAGCACAUAGUAGGUCCGGGAGAGGUGCGACAAUGGCUGCAUAUUUACGAAUAAAUCAAUGAUAAAAGCCAAUCAAUCCUAUAAAUUGCGGAGAGAUGAGAGGUUUUGUGGUUGUGGCCAUUAGUGAAUGGCUUACACCUUGGAGGGAUCAGAUUGAACUCCUUGGGCUGAAAUGAUGUGACCUAAAUAUUCAAUUGUUGAAACUACAAAAACACACUUAGUUAACUUAGCAUAAUAAGAAUUAAGUAUAAAUAACUGUAAAACUAAAUGGAGAUGGUGAAGAUGAGUAGCAUAAUUAGCACUAUAAAUGAGAAUGUCAUAAAGAAAACAAAUGCUAAUUUUCUCAAGUAAAGUCGUAGGAGAUCAUUUAUUGCAGAUUGAAGCAUAGAUAGUAUGUUUGUCAGUUCAAAUGGCAUUACUAGGAAUUCGUAAUGGCCAUCGAAAGUCUUGAAAGUGGUUUUGUGUGUGUCUUUAGACCAGACCUGUAUUUGGUGAUAACCCAAGCGCCAAUCUAUCUUUGAAAAAAUUGAUGCACCACCAAGUUCAUCUAGGAGCUCAUCUAUGGUGGGUAUAGGAAAACUGUCUUUGAUAGUGAUUGCAUUAAGAGCACGGUAAUCAACACAAAGUCUCCAUGUACCAUCAUUUUUUUACAAGUAGCACUAGAGAAGAGAGGGGGCUAGUGCUUGGUAUGAUAAGGUCAUCCUUAAGGAGUUCAGUAAUGAGUUUGGUCAUAGUUUCUUUAUGAGCAUGUGGGUAUUUGUAAGGACGUACUUUUAUGGGACCAGUGUUUGGCAAAAGAGGGAUAUGGUGGUCAUGAGGGAGAGAAGGAGGAAUGGUGCGAGUAUUUUCAAACACAAUAAAAAAACUAAAAGAAGGGCUUGGAGGUCUGAGGAGUGAGGAUGUUUAGCCAAAUGAGUGAAAGGAGUAUGUGGUGGGGGUAUGUUUUCCAUAGAAAGAAGAUGAAAGGAAGCCACUGAAUCCAUAUGGAUUAAGUGACACACUUGUUGAAAAAAGGCUAUUUGAGCUAGAGGAGAGGAUUCUCCUUGUAGAGUAACUUGCUUACCAAGGUGGGUAAACUUCAUGUAAGGGACUGAGAAAUCAGAAAGGAUUGGCUCUAGGGUUUGUAACUAUUCAAUUCCUAAGACCAAAUCAUCACCCUGAAUUGGAAGUAGAAAAAAUGGUAGUACAAACGAGUGAGAUUGCAUUGUAAGAAGAACCUGUUUACAUCAUCCAGUGUAGUAAAUUUGGUUUUUAUCACCUAUCAUGACUGGAAACAAAGGUGUAGGUGUAGUUGGAAGCUACAAAUGAAUGGCAAGUCAUAGCUGCAUAAUGUUAUGUGAACCACCGGUGUCAAUGAGAAUACUGAUUGGAUGACCCAAGAUGGAGCCUUGGAAACAUAAAGUUUAUAGAGAUGGGCUUCUGGUGAGGGCUUGGGGUAAUAGUUGAAAAUGGUUGGGUUGGGUAUUUGAAGGAUCUAUAGGUUCCAGGGUAGUGUUAAGGUCAAGCUCAUCUUUUUCAUCACCCUCGACUACAAUCAGGAGAAAAAAUUGCUUAUUUUAGCACUUGUGGCCAAUAUGGAAUUUUUCAUCACAAUAGUAGCAUAAAAUCUUUUGUGCGUUUUUCAUUAUACUAAGAUGGGGUGAGUUUCGUGAAGGGAAUAGUGGAGGCGUUUGGAAUAGGGUUUGAAGCAGGGUUGUGAGAAUGUUUUUGAUUUGCGAAAGGACUGGAGCAAGUAAAGGGGUGGACUUUUGAAGCCUUAACCUUAGCCUCGACAAGUUUGGCAAAACCAAUGGCAUUAGCAAGGGAGGAAGGUUGUAAGAUGCUCAUUUCAGUACAAAUCUCAAGGAUAAGGCCCAGAAUGAAACAAUUUAAAAUUACUUUUGGUGUUAACCCAUGGACCCUAUUGUGAAGCUUCUCAAAUUGAAGUUGAUAGUCACUCACAGUUCCCAAUUGGAGGAGCUUAAACAGCUUGGCUUGGUGAUUUCCAAAUGUUGAAGGCCCAAAAUAGAGCUCAAGUGUGCUAUAAAAGACCCCCAGUCAGAUAGUUGUUGGUUGUGGUGCAUCCACUUGAACCAUAGAAAUUCGUUGAUCCAAAGGAACCUAGUAAAGGGUAAAAAAUUGUUCCGCUUAGGACAACCAGUCAAAUGGUUCAUAUCCAGUAAAGAGUAGAAGGUGUAGUUUUCAGAGCCAUAUAUGGUUUGGGCUAGGGGCAGUGUGUAAGGGAAAAAGGGGUAGGUAUUGUAGUAGGCAUUGGGGAAGUAAAGGGGUUAUGAAGGUGAAAUGGACCCGAUUGAGUAAAAGGAUUUGUGGUUGUGGUGGGCAUAGGUUGGGGAGUAGUGGGUGGUGUGUUUGUUGUGGAAGUUGAGGAUAACUAUGUAAGUUUUUCUAGGAUGGUGAUCAUCACGAUCUGUAAAGACUCAUGAUGAGUAUCAAUGGUAACUAGCAGUUGGUUGUGGCAGUUAUCAUGGCAUAUUUGAGUAGCUUCAAUUUCAACAACCAUGGCUAGCAUGGCCUCCUCCAAAUCUUUGAUAGAUUUCUUAGGCAUUAUCAAAAUGAAAGAACCAAAUAUGUUAGACUAUUAAUCCCACAUUCAAGAUAGGGAUCAAAUCUCCUUUAAAAUAAGAAAACACCUAAAGUGAAUAAGCAUUUCUCAUGCCUCCUUUCAUUAAAAACAAGGAAUAAAUAUGCUACAGGACUCAACAGUCCAAAAUACAACUGUCACUACAGCUAUAAUAGUACAUGAAGCUUCUAGGAAUAAAAUUACUAAAGAGACCCUACUGGUCAUAAAGCUAGGUUUGCACAAAGUCCUUAAACCUAGAAGGUGGUCCAACAUUGCAUUUGGGCUUGAGAGAAAGAGUGCAGCCCAUUGGACUAUCAAGUGGUGAAGGGAUUCACGAAUCAGCGUUGGAAAAUACAUCAUGAGCGAGGCAUUCGCGACGAGGGUACCGGUGGGCCAUAUUCCAGAUACACACACCAAGAACCCAAAGAAGGUGCUUCUAGUUGCAAUGCUCUACCAGACACACCAUAAUAACGAUUGAAUGUGAAAUAAUUUAAUUAUUAACGGUGAAGUUUUUUUUAUUGCUCGCGUAUUGUUUAUGUGACUGCUAAUUGCAAUUAAUUUGCUAAGUUCGACAACAUCACUUAUGCUCGUAGAGUGUUUGACCAAAUGCCCCAAUCAAUUAUAAAACUAACACUAACUUAGAUGCUCCAAAAUCCUUUUUCUUUUUGUUACUAUUUGUCAAAUUCAUGAUGAAGGAGUGUUAAAUCAAUUUGAAAAAUUGUGGCAGCUUUUUGCAAUUUGUGGGGAUUUUAACCCCACAUCCCCCAAAAAAAAUUCAUAAAAAGAGAAUAGUCAACAAUUGGACAAAUGAAGGAGUGACAUGUAGGUAUGAAAAUCAACCGAGUCUAGUUCUGGAUCAAAAAGUAUAUAUUUUAAUUUUAUGAGGACAAGAAACAAACAAAAAAUUUUGCAACCACAAAAUUCAUAUAUUGAUGUUUUACAAGGAUGAAAAUCAUUUUUUUUCAAAGUACAAUUAAUUUUGUAACACUUGAAUUGGGUUUUGCUUUCAAGCUUCGGGUUUAUCAAAUAUGAAAGCGUUUUGGCUUUUGACAGAACUUGGAACAUGUAGAACAAAAGGUUAAAGACUCUACCUUUGCUUAGCUCAAUAGCUAUCAAAUUCAAUCAAAAAUAAAUUAAUAUCAAAAUCAAAACCAAUAAAUAAAUAAUAAAAUAAAAUAGAAAAUUAAAGUGUGAAGUAGGAACCAACCAGAACGAAUGAGGCCUCUGUUGUAAGAACCUUUCCUUAAAGAACCCGAAAGCGCAGCACCUUAAUCACGGACGAGGAUGCUCCGGCCACCGCUGCCAUGUUUUCUAAAUUCUAGUAAUGUGCGUUCUUUUCUUUUGUUGUCUCGAAACAAGGGUGAUCAGGGAGGGAUAUAUAUAUAUAAUAAAUGGAGUGGUCCGGGUCAAAGUUAUGGUGUGGGCCUGUGGGGUAUGGCAUGGAUUCUCUGCCGACAGGUUCA